UACGUAGGAUGCAAGCGUUGUCCGGAUUUAUUGGGUUUAAAGGGUGCGUAGGUGGGGAAUUAAGUCGUGGGUGAAAGCUGGUAGCUCAACUAUCAAAAUGCCUGCGAUACUGGUUUUCUUGAAUACGGUGGAGGUAACUGGAAUGGGUGGUGUAGCGGUGAAAUGCAUAGAUACCAUCCGGAACACCAAUUGCGUAGGCAGGUUACUACGCCGUGAUUGACACUGAGGCACGAAAGCGUGGGGAUCAAACAGG
rnacentral:rRNA from 1 species